GAUGAACGCUAGCGGCAGGCUUAAUACAUGCAAGUCAAGGGGUAGCAAUACAACCGGCGCACGGGUGAGUAACGCGUACACAACAUACCAUAUACUGGAGUAUAGCUUCGGGAAACUGAAGGUAAUCCCCCAUAANAUUGCGAGAAGGCAUCUAAUUGCAAUUAAAGUUUCGCGGUAUAUGAUUGGUGUGCGUUUGUAUUAGCUAGUUGGUAGGGUAACGGCCUACCAAGGCGACGAUCAAUAGCUGGCGUGAGAGCGCGACCAGCCACACUGGAACUGAGACACGGUCCAGACUCCUACGGGAGGCAGCAGCAGGGAAUAUUGGACAAUGGGCGAAAGCCUGAUCCAGCAUGCGCGUGAUAGAUGAAGG
rnacentral:rRNA from 1 species